GGGGCGCUUGAGGUGGAAAAGCACAGGACAUAGCAUUUUCAAGGUUUUUCUUAAUUUAUAAAGUUAAAAGCUUUUUAAAUGUGAAACACUCAUGCUAAAUGAAGAAAAAGGUGGAAAAACUGAAAGGCUUUUUCUCCUUAAACUUGCUUGUCUGCUCAAGCUGCCCUUUGGCCUCUCCUGAUUUAUGUUUGCGCCUGUGAAAGUAAAUUAGAGAAUAGAGGUUAAUUCAAGCAAAAUUUACUUUGCCUCAUUUUUCUGCAGACAAAAUUACUAGGAUAAAUUACAGCGCAAAUUAGUCCGAGGUGCUAUGUUUAAAGAGAAAACGAGUUGUUUUCUUAGUUUCAAAGUCACCAAACCCUUCCUAUUUCUGUCCCUUCAAUUUCCAGAGUAGAGAAGGCUGCAGGCACGCAGAGAGAGAGAAGCAAAGUGUCUCUGCCAAAGAGAGUGACCCCUGCGGCAGGCAGAGGCCAUCAGAGUAGGCGCCACUCCACUCAGAUCAACUAAGUCAGACGCUGGAGCCAAAGACGCCGUGGGGAGCCGCGGGGAGACAGGAAAGGAUGUCAUCCCACGUGGUGUGGCUAGGAGACACCGUACUCAGGGUUCCAGAAGGCUGAGCGUUCAUCUUUGCCUCCGAGAACACCUGAGGACAGCGGAUCUUUGAUGUGGCUGCAGUUGAGACACACGUGUGGAGGGAUUUCUAGAAGGUGCCUAUUGCUGUUGAUGCGUGGGAAAGUCUACUUCAUGGCUGAACACCAGAUAGCCAUCAUUAAACCAGGGCGCGCAGGGAGGCUUGACCAGUGAGCUGAUGAUCACAUAAAGGCUGCCAAGCGGACUGUAGACCAAGAAAUGGAGUUCUAACAGUCUGUUACCCAUCACAGAGGCCAACCAACUCUAGGGGGUGCAUCCCUUGCUCUACAUGAUGUUUGUUCUGGAACUGAGAAGACCUGAAAUUCAUUCUUGUUUGGCCAGUGAGCUAUUGAUGCUUGACAAAUCACUCCAAGCAUUAGUGUUUAAAAAUAAUUUCAUCUUUUAUAAUUCUGUGGAUAAGAGACUUGGGUAAGCCCAGUUUGGAAGAUGAAUGUCCGUGAACUCCGUUCAUCAAGGGGUGGCCAUGCCUUCCUUUCUCCAUGUGUUCUCUCCUAUGGACAUCCCUUCAGCCAGAAGGAGCAAGUCUUCUCCAUGGGAUUCCAAAAGCAUAAACUUAAAGUGGCCAUGUCCUCUUAAGGCUUCUCCCUGGGGGAAAUGCACAGGGUCAUUUCUACUGAAUGCUGUUCUCUGCAGGGUAUCACAGAGUCAAUAAAGAGCUCCAUGACAUGUGUCACCCAUGAGUGUGUGUCACCGGGAUCCUCUAGUAUGUGAUCUGCAGAAUGUCUUCUUCUUCAACUGGCAGUCAAAGAAAAAGGUUGGGCCGGUUCAACAAUCUGGUGCUU